CGCAAGACCUUGUGCUACUAGAGCGGCCGAUGGCAGAUUAGGUAGUUGGUGGGAUAAAAGCUUACCAAGCCGACGAUCUGUAGCUGGUCUGAGAGGACGAUCAGCCACACUGGGACUGAGACACGGCCCAGACUCCUACGGGAGGCAGCAGUGGGGAAUUUUGGACAAUGGGCGCAAGCCUGAUCCAGCAAUGCCGCGUGCAGGAUGAAGGCCUUCGGGUUGUAAACUGCUUUUGUACGGAACGAAAAGCUUUGGGUUAAUACCCUGGAGUCAUGACGGUACCGUAAGAAUAAGCACCGGCUAACUACGUGC
rnacentral:rRNA from 1 species